rnacentral:rRNA from 2 species
UCGGCCAAGUCCUCGACCGCCUCCCCUCCUCGGAGUGGGGGCUCGGGGUAAAAGAACCCACGGCGCCGAAGGCGUCAAGGAACACUGUGCCUAACCCGGGGGCAUGGCUAGCUUGCUAGUCGUCCCCCGUGUUGCAAAGCUAUUUAAUCCACACGACUCUCGGCAACGGAUAUCUCGGCUCUCGCAUCGAUGAAGAACGUAGCGAAAUGCGAUACCUGGUGUGAAUUGCAGAAUCCCGCGAACCAUCGAGUCUUUGAACGCAAGUUGCGCCCAAGGCCACUCGGCCGAGGGCACGC